AUUGAACGCUGGCGGCAUGCCUUACACAUGCAAGUCGAACGGUAACAGGUUAAGCUGACGAGUGGCGAACGGGUGAGUAAUAUAUCGGAACGUGCCCAGUCGUGGGGGAUAACGUAGCGAAAGCUACGCUAAUACCGCAUACGAUCUGCGGAUGAAAGCGGGGGAUCGCAAGACCUCGCGCGAUUGGAGCGGCCGAUAUCAGAUCAGGUUGUUGGUGAGGUAAAAGCUCACCAAGCCUGCGAUCUGUAGCUGGUCUGAGAGGACGACCAGCCACACUGGAACUGAGACACGGUCCAGACUCCUACGGGAGGCAGCAGUGGGGAAUUUUGGACAAUGGACGCAAGUCUGAUCCAGCAAUGCCGCGUGCAGGACGAAGGCCUUCGGGUUGUAAACUGCUUUUGUACGGAACGAAACGGUGAGCUCUAAUACAGUUUGCUAAUGACGGUACCGUAAGAAUAAGCACCGGCUAACUACGUGCCAGCCGCCGCGGUAA
rnacentral:rRNA from 1 species